GACAAAUUGAAAGAUAUUUAUUGUAGUUUUCUCUAACAUACAAUUAUUUGUUAUCUCUCUAUUUCUUCUUCCACACAAAUUUUCAGCCUUUUGUUUUUCAAGAUAAUAGUUUUUUGGUUGUAUCAAUUUUUCAUCAAGUGAUAAGAUCCUACGAAUUAGAUAGGAAAGGAACUUACACUCAUGGAAAAUGAAGGAGAAAGAGAGAAAGGGGAAGCAAACAACUUUAUGGUAUCUCAUAUUGACUCCAUUUCUAAAUAAGUGGCGUUUUCAGUUUGGGCGCACGUGCACCCCUUAAGAAGCUAUACUUUUUUUUUCUUUUUUUAGUACUCAAGAAACUAUACUCAUUUCUAAAAUAUAAAGAUUGUUUUAAUAAUUUAUCGUUAGUAAAUACCUUGAAAAAGAUGUAACUUUUUAGUACUUCCUCUGUUACUAUUUUCAUG